UAUUCUUUGUAACCUUCUCCCAAAGGCAGAACAGCCCCUACCCACCCUCCACCUCCCCAGCUGACCUUCAGCCACACCUGGGUCCAAAAGCUUGCAAAACCCCUCCAGGAAUCAUGUUACAAGGGCUUAUUAGUCAACCAAGGUCAUAAACCGCUGAACAGUGGUGACGCUGGUGCUCUGUGCUUUCCAAUCUGGCCACCCUUGCUCCAGGACCCUAUAAAGAGAUCAGGCUGCACUUCUUUUCUAAAAUUAAAAAAAAAAAAAAAAAAAAAAGCUUUGUGAGCCAAGAAGGCUAAUCUACAGUACAUUCUUUGUUGACGGGAGAUACAGAGUGGCUGCACACACUGUUCUUUCUUGCAGCUAUAGUUGAAAAUACUCCUGACCCAGACACACAUGUGGUGUCAUCCUGAGUGCCCUUUGCGUAGGGCCGGGACAUCUAACUAGGAAACCUCUCCCUGAGUGGCAGGCCUAACGGCCAGGAUCUGUGGCCAGCGGGGAGUGGCUCUGGACACAGUGAUUCCUAGGUUCCUGCUGCAGGAAAUGACCUCCUUCUGAAACAUGGUGCCUUUCCAGGGAGGAGGAAGAAGAGGAGGAAAGGAGGUAGUUCCCACUGGGCCCUCUCCCACACAGGACUGCAGCAUGAGCCCAGCUCUCUCCUUGAAAGCUGGUCUGGCCUCUGUUUUUGAACCCAAGAGCUGGAGCAGAAGUUAUUAUUUAUUACACACACCACAUCUAGACCUGGGCAGCCGGACAGGGCAGCCACCUGCGCAUGUGGCUGUGGAGCAACUGAACGGCGGCUGCCCAGGUAGAGCUAGGCUGUGUGACCUGCACACUGUGUUUUGAAGGCUCAAUCAAAAAGAAUGUGAGCUACCUCAUAUUUUGAAAUGAUAAUAUUUUGGACAAAGUGCGCUAAAUAAAAAGUUCUUAAAGCUAAUUGUACCUGCUUCUUUCUACUUUUUUUUAAAUGGGGCUACUGAAACCUGCCACAUAUGUGGCUCACACUACAUUUUAGUUGGACAGAACCCCACAAAGGGUGGCUCUCUCCUGGCUACUAGGAUCACUCUGAACAGAUCCUCAACUCCUGUGCCUUCCUGCCCCACCAGGAGCUGCAGGCUUCUUGUACCCACUGCUUCAUCUGCCUGUUGCUCCUUCCUGCCUUCCUCCCUGGGGUCCCUGCCUACUACUCUGGACCUGGCCUGUAGGCCCCUG
rnacentral:lncRNA from 1 species